rnacentral:lncRNA from 1 species
AUGAUUGAUAAUUAAAUUAACAGAUAGAGGCAAAGAUAUAGAUUCUUCUGAGAGCAAAGAAUUGUGGAAGUUUUUCCAUAAAAUAGUUUCACUUUCUAUUAACCCAAAGGUAUCUAAAAGAUUAAUAAGAGGGUGGUGUGUUUGUCCUCUGCUAUACUCUGAGCUAAAAGUGUUUGGAAACAGUUACUAUUUAUCACAUAGGACUCUUACUAUUUAUGAAUACUGUUGACCAUAUGAAUAACACCACUAUUUAUGACAUACAUACAGACAGCUUCAUAAUGUCAGAAGAACAUUGUUGAUAUGUUCAUUAUUCAUGUAAACCAGAUAGCAAAGAAAGGGGUAAAUUUGAGAGGUACAGAAUACCUCAAGGAUUUGUAAUAUGGGCUGCAGGUUAUCCAUGCAAUGCUUGAAAUUGGAGGACAUGCUUCAUAUUUGUUUUGUUUGUUUGUUUGUUUGUUUGUUUUGUCUUUUUAGAAAGGGAUCUUUAUCAGAGUUGCAAAAGUAUUUUGGGCUGGCCCCUCAAAAAACGUUUAAAUCUUCUUAGGAUUGAUAGUUUGUUACUUGUCUUUACAACACCUGGAUGAAGAUUUUUUAAAAGAUGUCUUAUAGGUUUGCUCAUAUGACAGCCUACUCAAUGCAAUCCAAAGUCUAUACCUUUCAUAUGGACUUUGGGAGAUGUACGUAAACCUAAGGCAGCAGAGCCUUUUAAUCAACAUGCUGUUGCAGCCUCCCUUUCCUUUCAACAUCAUACCAUCUUGUCUCCUGCUCCGACUUCUCUCUCCUCCCUUUGAAUUAGCAGCAAAACCUGAGGGCACUUUUCAACUUAAUAGAGGAAUAGAUAAUUCUCAUUCCAUGGGUAAAACUGCAGCACUGUGAUCCAUUUAAAAAUAUGAUCGAUAUCUUUUCAUACAGUGCAUCUGUUAGGAAUCAUGAAAGGAAAAUUGUUAAUAAGGGGAUUUAUUAUUUUACAAACCCCAAACUCCACUUUUUAUAACAAUAAACAAUGUGAACAAGAAAGUGAUGCAUCAUUUAAAAUUGACCAUGAUGGAGAAGAUACCAUCAAAGCCAGUAUUCGCUGGUACCCUUCUAAGACUUGAC